rnacentral:lncRNA from 1 species
CAUGAGCGAAUCAACGCAUGUGUCUAAUAUAACGACAAAAAUGGCGACAACGACGAGGUUAUACGAGAUCGAUAAAUAAAUAAUUACUUUUCUCCUCCACAGAAAAAUAAGCAGUUUCGAAGAAAUGUCUUCUAUAUCGUGCUUGUGUUUAGUCAAAGGAAACAAAUUUUUUUACCAGAUUGAUGAAGAUAACAUUAGAAAUAAAUUUAAUUUAACAGGGUUAAGUCAGCGAGUGCCAUACUAUCAACAAGUAGCAAAUUUGACUUGGAAUCAUUUCUAUUGAAAUUUACAUUGCAUUUACUUUACAACAAUUUGUACCAUUUACAGAUUAUAUGGCUAUCAAAUUGAUCCAUUAGAAUAUUGGAUGCAGCAACAGUCUGUGUCAACCAUCGCAACACUGUUACAAGAUUUUAAAGACGAGACAAAUGGAAGACGUUAAAAGAGCUUUGAUACACACUAUAAAUAAUUUGUAAUAAUGCCUUUACAGAAUGCUGUGAUUCAGACCAUUUCGCAAUUAAGUUAAAUGGAAAGAAUGAUCGAUCAGCUUAUUAAUCUCGAUAAGAAAUUUGGAAAGAAUUUAAUAGUUCAUUCAAGUGAUCAUUAUGUUAAAGUAUAAUUACGAUAUUACCAAGUAGUUCCUUUGUAUGACCUUCGUAUUAAGGUUGAACCAUUUAUGCGGAAAGUAUAAUUGACAAGCUUAUUAGAUAGAGUAAAUGCAUUAAAGAAUUAUUUGUUAGUCGUACUUAAAUUUUCUUUUCUAAUAAAUAAAACUUAAUAGAAAUAUAGAAUAAGAAGAUUUCUUUGUGUGUGUGAUUAAUUAAAUAUUGAAAGGAUGAUAAUUUGUAUAAUAAAAAUGAUACAUUGUAUGUAUGUAGUUUA